rnacentral:misc_RNA from 1 species
CCAAUAGCGUAUAUUAAAGUUGUUGCAGUUAAAAAGCUCGUAGUUGAAUUUCGGGACCAAUCUGCCGGUCGUGCCUCCGGUACGCACUGGUUUUAUUGGUUUCUCCCUUCUGACGAACCAUGAUGUCAUUAAUUUGGUGUCAUGGGGAAUCAGGACUGUUACUUUGAAAAAAUUAGAGUGUUUAUAGCAGGCUCACGCUUGAAUACAUUAGCAUGGAAUAAUGAAAUAGGACGUUUGACCCUAUUUUGUUGGUUUCUAGGAUCGACGUAAUGAUUAAUAGGGAUAGUUGGGGGCAUUAGUAUUCAAUUGUCAGAGGUGAAAUUCUUGGAUUUAUUGAAGACUAACUACUGCGAAAGCAUUUGCCAAGGAUGUUUUCAUUAAUCAAGAACGAAAGUUAGGGGAUCGAAGACGAUCAGAUACCGUCGUAGUCUUGACCAUAAACUAUGCCGACUAGGGAUCGGAUGAUGUUAAUUUUUUAAUGACUCAUUCGGCGCCUUACG